rnacentral:tRNA from 1 species
GAGGACUUAGCUUAAUUAAAGUAGUUGAUUUGCAUUCAGUUGAUGUAGGAUAAAUUCUUGCAGUCCUUA